UACGUAGGGCGCAAGCGUUGUCCGGAAUUAUUGGGCGUAAAGAGCUCGUAGGUGGUUUGUUACGUCUGCUGUGAAAACCUAGGGCUUAACCCUGGGCUUGCAGUGGAUACGGGCAGACUAGAGGUAGGUAGGGGAGAAUGGAAUUCCUGGUGUAGCGGUGAAAUGCGCAGAUAUCAGGAGGAACACCGGUGGCGAAGGCGGGUCUCUGGGCCGUAACUGACGCUGAGGAGCGAAAGCGUGGGGAGCGAACAGG
rnacentral:rRNA from 1 species